rnacentral:rRNA from 1 species
GAUGACGGCUUCGGGUUGUAAACUCUUUCAGUAGGGAAGAAGCGAAAGUGACGGUACUGCAGAAGAAGCACCGGCUAACUACGUGCCAGCAGCCGCGGUAAUACGUAGGGUGCGAGCGUUAUCCGGGAAUUAUUGGGCGUAAAGAGCUCGUAGGCGGUUUGUCGCGUCUGUCGUGAAAGUCCGGGGCUUAACCCGGGAUCUGCGGUGGGUACGGGCAGACUAGAGUGCAGUAGGGGAGACUGGAAUUCCUGGUGUAGCGGUGGAAUGCGCAGAUAUCAGGAGGAACACCGAUGGCGAAGGCAGGUCUCUGGGCUGUAACUGACGCUGAGGAGCGAAAGCAUGGGGAGCGAACAGGAUUAGAUACCCUGGUAGUCCAUGCCGUAAACGUUGGGCACUAGGUGUGGGGACCAUUCCACGGUUUCCGCGCCGCAGCUAACGCAUUAAGUGCCCCGCCUGGGGAGUACGGCCGCAAGGCUAAAACUCAAAGGAAUUGACGGGGGCCCGCACAAGCGGCGGAGCAUGCGGAUUAAUUCGAUGCAACGCGAAGAACCUUACCAAGGCUUGACAUGUUCUCGAUCGCCGUAGAGAUACGGUUUCCCCUUUGGGGCGGGUUCACAGGUGGUGCAUGGUUGUCGUCAGCUCGUGUCGUGAGAUGUUGGGUUAAGUCCCGCAACGAGCGCAACCCUCGUUCCAUGUUGCCAGCACGUAAUGGUGGGGACUCAUGGGAGACUGCCGGGGUCAACUCGGAGGAAGGUGAGGACGACGUCAAAUCAUCAUGCCCCUUAUGUCUUGGGCUUCACGCAUGCUACAAUGGCCGGUACAAUGGGUUGCGAUACUGUGAGGUGGAGCUAAUCCCAAAAAGCCGGUCUCAGUUCGGAUUGGGGUCUGCAACUCGACCCCAUGAAGUCGGAGUCGCUAGUAAUCGCAGAUCAGCAACGCUGCGGUGAAUACGUUCCCGGGCCUUGUACACACCGCCCGUCAAGUCACGAAAGUCGGUAACACCCGAAGCCGGUGGCCUAACC